rnacentral:rRNA from 1 species
GGGUUGUGAGGUUAAGCGACUAAGCGUACACGGUGGAUGCCCUGGCAGUCAGAGGCGAUGAAGGACGUGCUAAUCUGCGAAAAGCGUCGGUAAGGUGAUAUGAACCGUUAUAGCCGGCGAUGUCCGAAUGGGGAAACCCAGUGCAAUUCGUUGCACUAUCGUUAACUGAAUACAUAGGUUAACGAGGCGAACCGGGGGAACUGAAACAUCUAAGUACCCCGAGGAAAAGAAAUCAACCGAGAUUCCCCCAGUAGCGGCGAGCGAACGGGGAGCAGCCCGGAGUCUGAAUCAGCUUGUGUGUUAGUGGAAGCGUCUGGAAAGUCGCAGGGUACAGGGUGAUACUCCCGUACACUAAAACACACAGGUUGUGAACUCGAAGAGUAGGGCGGGACACGUGGUAUCCUGUCUGAAUAUGGGGGGACCAUCCUCCAAGGCUAAAUACUCCUGACUGACCGAUAGUGAACCAGUACCGUGAGGGAAAGGCGAAAAGAACCCCGGCGAGGGGAGUGAAAAAGAACCUGAAACCGUGUACGUACAAGCAGUAGGAGCCCACUUGUUGGGUGACUGCGUACCUUUUGUAUAAUGGGUCAGCGACUUAUAUUCUGUAGCAAGGUUAACCGUAUAGGGGAGCCGCAGGGAAACCGAGUCUUAACUGGGCGUUAAGUUGCAGGGUAUAGACCCGAAACCCGGUGAUCUAGCCAUGGGCAGGUUGAAGGUUGGGUAACACUAACUGGAGGACCGAACCGACUAAUGUUGAAAAAUUAGCGGAUGACUUGUGGCUGGGGGUGAAAGGCCAAUCAAACCGGGAGAUAGCUGGUUCUCCCCGAAAGCUAUUUAGGUAGCGCCUCGUGAACUCAUCUUCGGGGGUAGAGCACUGUUUCGGCUAGGGGGUCAUCCCGACUUACCAACCCGAUGCAAACUACGAAUACCGAAGAAUGUUAUCACGGGAGACACACGGCGGGUGCUAACGUCCGUCGUGAAGAGGGAAACAACCCAGACCGCCAGCUAAGGUCCCAAAGUCAUGGUUAAGUGGGAAACGAUGUGGGAAGGCCCAGACAGCCAGGAUGUUGGCUUAGAAGCAGCCAUCAUUUAAAGAAAGCGUAAUAGCUCACUGGUCGAGUCGGCCUGCGCGGAAGAUGUAACGGGGCUAAACCAUGCACCGAAGCUGCGGCAGCGACACUAUGUGUUGUUGGGUAGGGGAGCGUUCUGUAAGCCGUUGAAGGUGGCCUGUGAGGGUUGCUGGAGGUAUCAGAAGUGCGAAUGCUGACAUAAGUAACGAUAAUGCGGGUGAAAAACCCGCACGCCGGAAGACCAAGGGUUCCUGUCCAACGUUAAUCGGGGCAGGGUGAGUCGACCCCUAAGGCGAGGCCGAAAGGCGUAGUCGAUGGGAAACAGGUUAAUAUUCCUGUACUCGGUGUUACUGCGAAGGGGGGACGGAGAAGGCUAUGUUGGCCGGGCGACGGUUGUCCCGGUUUAAGCAUGUAGGCGGAUGUUCCAGGUAAAUCCGGAACGUUACUAACGCUGAGGUGUGAUGACGAGGCACUACGGUGCUGAAGUGACAAAUGCCCUGCUUCCAGGAAAAGCCUCUAAGCAUCAGGUAACAUCAAAUCGUACCCCAAACCGACACAGGUGGUCAGGUAGAGAAUACCAAGGCGCUUGAGAGAACUCGGGUGAAGGAACUAGGCAAAAUGGUGCCGUAACUUCGGGAGAAGGCACGCUGAUGGUAGGUGAAGUGACUUGCUCAUGGAGCUGAAAUCAGUCGAAGAUACCAGCUGGCUGCAACUGUUUAUUAAAAACACAGCACUGUGCAAACACGAAAGUGGACGUAUACGGUGUGACGCCUGCCCGGUGCCGGAAGGUUAAUUGAUGGGGUUAUCCGUAAGGAGAAGCUCUUGAUCGAAGCCCCGGUAAACGGCGGCCGUAACUAUAACGGUCCUAAGGUAGCGAAAUUCCUUGUCGGGUAAGUUCCGACCUGCACGAAUGGCGUAAUGAUGGCCAGGCUGUCUCCACCCGAGACUCAGUGAAAUUGAACUCGCUGUGAAGAUGCAGUGUACCCGCGGCAAGACGGAAAGACCCCGUGAACCUUUACUAUAGCUUGACACUGAACACUGGUCCUUGAUGUGUAGGAUAGGUGGGAGGCUUUGAAGUGUGGACGCCAGUCUGCAUGGAGCCAUCCUUGAAAUACCACCCUUUAAUGGCUGGUGUUCUAACGUGGGCCCGUAAUCCGGGUUGCGGACAGUGUCUGGUGGGUAGUUUGACUGGGGCGGUCUCCUCCUAAAGAGUAACGGAGGAGCACGAAGGUCAGCUAAUCCUGGUCGGACAUCAGGAGGUUAGUGCAAUGGCAUAAGCUGGCUUGACUGCGAGCGUGACGGCGCGAGCAGGUGCGAAAGCAGGUCAUAGUGAUCCGGUGGUUCUGAAUGGAAGGGCCAUCGCUCAACGGAUAAAAGGUACUCCGGGGAUAACAGGCUGAUACCGCCCAAGAGUUCAUAUCGACGGCGGUGUUUGGCACCUCGAUGUCGGCUCAUCACAUCCUGGGGCUGAAGUAGGUCCCAAGGGUAUGGCUGUUCGCCAUUUAAAGUGGUACGCGAGCUGGGUUUAGAACGUCGUGAGACAGUUCGGUCCCUAUCUGCCGUGGGCGCUGGAGAAUUGAGGGGGGCUGCUCCUAGUACGAGAGGACCGGAGUGGACGCAUCACUGGUGUUCGGGUUGUCAUGCCAAUGGCAUUGCCCGGUAGCUAAAUGCGGAAGAGAUAAGUGCUGAAAGCAUCUAAGCACGAAACUUGCCCCGAGAUGAGUUCUCCCUGACUCCCUGAGAGUCCUGAAGGAACGUUGAAGACGACGACGUUGAUAGGCCGGGUGUGUAAGCGCAGCGAUGCGUUGAGCUAACCGGUACUAAUGAACCGUGAGGCUUAACCUUACAACGCCGAAG